UACGAAGGGUGCAAGCGUUACUCGGAAUUACUGGGCGUAAAGCGUGCGUAGGCGGUCUGUUGCGUCGGCUGUGAAAACCCGGGGCUCAACCCCGGGCCUGCAGCCGAUACGGGCAGACUAGAGUUCGGCAGGGGAGACUGGAAUUCCUGGUGUAGCGGUGAAAUGCGCAGAUAUCAGGAGGAACACCGGUGGCGAAGGCGGGUCUCUGGGCCGAUACUGACGCUGAGGAGCGAAAGCGUGGGGAGCAAACAGG
rnacentral:rRNA from 1 species